UACGGAGGAUGCGAGCGUUAUCCGGAUUUAUUGGGUUUAAAGGGUGCGCAGGCGGAUUUUUAAGUCAGCGGUCAAAUCGUGGGGCUCAACCCCAUCCAGCCGUUGAAACUGGGGAUCUAGAGUGUGCGAGAGGUAUGCGGAAUGCGCGGUGUAGCGGUGAAAUGCAUAGAUAUCACGCAGAACCCCGAUUGCGAAGGCAGCUCUCUGGGCCGGCACUGACGCUGAGGCGCGAAAGCUGGGGGAGCGAACAGG
rnacentral:rRNA from 1 species